UCUCACCUCCGACUCCCUUCAAGAAUCUCCCUCCACCGUCCGAUCUCGCUCCGAACCCGAACGCUAACCCUAGCCUCCGCCGCAGGCUCCGAUCAAGCUCCGAUGGGCUCGCAAUCUCAAUCGUUCUUUAGAUCGGCGCUCUCGAGCAUGGAGAAAGUUUACUUGACUAGGAAUCCGACUGCAAAAUCUGUCCUUGAAUCUGUGAGCUCGUCUGAUGGCAGUCCUGUGUGUUACGAUCACUUCGCUUUCCGAACAUUUGGGGUAGAUGGCCAUGGGAUUGAUUCCAUUGCGUCAUUCUUCUUGGAUUUUGGUUAUACUCAACGAGAUGAACU